UUGGGAGACAUACUUUCCUUUACUUUUUCUACAAGGAAGAAUUUUUGAAUUCAUGGCUUUUAGAGUGUUCAUCUGGGCUUUUAGAGAUGCCUGUGAAAUACUUUUGCUGUGAACAAUCUCACUUCAAAGACAAUUAACAGGAAACUUGGCCCUUUGACUUGACUGCAUCACUUCUGGACGCUGUAUCCGCUCCACGGGGACACAGGAGGUUGAGUGUGGCCCAGCACCUCUGUCACCCCUCUCUGCUUGCUCUGAGUUCAGAGGACAGGACAGGAAACACCUGUGCAGCAACCCCGGGGCUGCCUGGGGCCUUCCCACACUGCAGCCACACCUUCUGUU
rnacentral:lncRNA from 1 species